UUGAAGUUGUGGGCAGUCUUUUCUUUUAGAUCCCUGGUUUCUUUCAACCAACCAUCAAAGUAAGCUUGAUUGGAGAUAGGGGUGGGUUUUGCUGUCUCAACUUGGCUAUCUUUUAACCAGCCAUCAAGGUAAGCCUGAUUGAAAUUGUGGGUACUCUUUACCUUUUGAUUAUUGGUAUUUUUCAACCAUCCAUCAAGGUAAACUUGAUCGGAUGUAGGGGUAGAUUUUGCUUUCUCAACUUGGGUAUCUUUUAACCAUCCAUCAAGGUAAACUUGCUUGGAGUUUUGUGCAGUCUUUUCCUUUUGAUCCUUGGUAUCUUUCAACCAUCCAUCAAGGUAAGCUUGAUUGGAAUUGUGGAUAGCUUUUUGGUUUUCGUCAGGAGUAUUUUUCAACCACCCAUCAAGGUAAGCAGAAUUAGAAUUACGGGUUGAUUUAUGUUGGUGAUCCAGGGUGUUUUUCAACCAUCCAUCAAGAUAACUUGGAUUAGAGUUAGGGGUGAGUUUUUUAUUUUUCAGUGGAGUGUUUUUGAGCCAGCCAUCAAGGUAAGGCUGAUCGAGUUGUUUUUCUUCUAUACUCUCUUGGUGAAGCUUCAUAUCUCUAGCAUAGCCUCUAUUUUCACUCUACAAUGCAAUUGAAUAAAGGGAUAUUAAUGAGUGACAACUUAAUUACAUGUUUAGGAUGAUAUAUAUGAUCACAUACAAACACAAGUGUUUUAUGUGACGCAUUCUGCUAGUGAGGUAACGUUCAUUAUGCAUAUAGCAGAUAGAUACAAAAUCUGAAACAAAGAAUAGAGGGAAUAAUACUCUUUUGAAUUUAGUUACAGCAAAUAACAUCAUUCUAUCGAUUCGAGUAGAUCAACUCGAAUGCGAGUGUGAAGAAUGCACAUAAAACAGCUAAAGAGGAGGAACUUAGAAGCAUGCAUUAAAUUCAAUGAUUAACAAUGUUAAUAAUGAUAUAAAAGCAUUUAAGAAUGCAUGCAAACUCACGAUUAACAAGAGCAUAAUAUGAAAGCAUUUAAGCAGGCAUGCAAAGUGAGUACUCACGAUUAACAAGAGCAUGACAAAUGUGAGGAGAGAAAGAACAACCCUGCGUUCCAUAUCUUUCUGCUAUAUUAAGUGUGGGAAAGCUGUUUUACUGCGAAAGAUGCACUGAAGUGGAAGUGAGCUUAGCUUUUUGUAAGCGAAAGAUUAAGAAAAGUACAAGUGAUGAGCUCAUUAAGCUUAGGUGAAUUCACAAGUUUUUCUAGAAGUCACUUAAUUGAAAAUUAACUCUUCAUCUUUGGUGAUUUGGGUUCGAGAUCGACACACUGUAAAAAGAACUUAUGUGAAUCCCUUCAUCAGCAGCUUUUAUUUUUUGACUUCCUUUUAAUUAUUACUAGUUUUUAUUGAAAAGACUUCCUUAUUAUUUUAUUUAUUUAAUUAGUUGUAUACGGGGAUCUUAAGUACUAAAUAAUCUGUUGAGCUUGGUAACGCAAGCUUGUGACCUAAGUAGGGGCAUUAAGAUGUUGGAAGGUCUUUGAUGUGUGAAAAAAAAAAAGAGUUGUGUUAUAUGUACAACCAAAAUUGAACAACUAAUGCAACAUCCUUUGAUAACGUGAGAAGCACGCAAAUCAAAAUUAUUAAAAAUAUAUUAAAAAAUUGCAAAAGAGUUGUUGGCUGUACCAAAAUGAUGUUCAUAUAUCAUUCAUUACUAAAAAAAAAAUACUAAAUGAACUAUUUAGUAGUACCCGGUGGCCGGUAGGACGGCUGAAACGAUAUACUAUGAAAUAUGGAUGUUAGUUACUUAGUCAGUAGUCAGUGAUAUCAAAGAAGGCCAAUGUGGCACAGCCACCUACGAUACUCAACAACACAUGAAGGGAACAUUUCCAUAUUUUGUGAAGACGAGGCCAGAACAGCAUACAUCAUGAAUCAUGACUUUUCGUUGUGGUACGAGAAACACCAAUAUAGUAGAGUACAGCAGUUGCAAUACUUAAGUAGAUAACCUGACAUAUGUGGAUAAUUUUAAUUAUUGUUAUAUUUAUAUAAAAAGCAGUAGUUGUUAAUGUAGUUGUUAAGGAUGUGUUUGGAUGAAAGAUUUCGAAAGGAAAGGGAGGAGAGAACUUAUUUUUCUUUUUCAAGUAUUUACAAUGCUAUUUACAGUGAUUUUUUGAUUUAACGUUAAUUUAUCAAAUUUGACCAUAAUCGAAUGUUUAAUCGCUUAGAAUAAGUCGUUCAGUUGGUAUGAACAAUACAUAAUACAUGCAAGGCGUUUAAAUUCCGGCCACUACCAAAAAAAAAAAUGGCUUAGAAUAAAGUUCAACAAAUGAUGUAGCAAUCUUAUUGACAGAUCUAGUAAUUUGACAAGCAGUGUGUGUAACAACAAGUGUUGUAAUGGAAACAAUAUCGAAUUACGAGAACUAAACUAAGAGUUUGUGAGGAGUUAAAAGAGAGAAACAUACAAUUAGUACUUUGUAUUAGGACGAAUAUCAAUAACCAAAUAAAACAAGUGUAAGCUAAAAACAUGGAGGGUUUGAAGUAGUAAUAAUAAAAGGACAUAUUGAUGAAAUAGAUGACAAGCAACGUCUGCAAUCAAAGCACCACAACUGACAUAGCUUCAAACAGAGAUGAUGAAAUAAAUUUUAGUUUAAAAAUAUGGGACUGAAAAGUUAUCCGAAUGAUCAAAUAACCUGCAGGGAAAACGAAAAUGACUCCAAAUAAAUUUGAAGAAACGCCAAGAACUGUAUCACAUUUUAAAGGUGGAUCAAUAAACUAUGUUUGGGAUCACAGAAACAUAAUGUGGAACACCAAUGGAAGUCAAACAAUGAAUCUCCAUGUACUGAUACUAUACUAGAACAUUUCAAGUUCUCUAUCAGACAUUUUAGGCCAGGAGUCACCAAAAAUUGCUUUGGAAAACUAAUUUAUGCCGUUCCUGAAAAAUUUACAAUCAUCUAAGGGCACAAAGAAUCAGACACUGUUGAAGCCGAAAGACGACUUGCAUAUUUUGUUGCUUCCACGUUUGAUCAUAAAAACAUCAGGGAAAUGAAAUUGCCACCCUUGGACAACAAUGGAAGUGUUGAUCACACAAAGACAAAGCAAACAAUUGUUAAGGAAACUUCAUAAGUCGGGUAAAGUUUAAUUUGGACCCAUUGAAAAAUUGAUCCAACUUGGACCAAUUAACUUAGACCAUUGAUCAAAUAAGAUGUAUAGAUUUUAUAGUAGUCCAUCUGCACAUGAGUUGCUCUCUCACUCUUCCAGUAUCUCUCUCUCCUUUGAUACACCAUCACCAACAUUUUCUUUUCUCAUUCUUGUGCUCAGCUAUUGGCAAUUUCUUUGGACUUUACAUUACCAAAUUAACAUCGAUUCUCUAGAUGUUUACUCACCAGCAUCACCCCUCCAUUCACUCCAACCACCACACUGAUAAGCAUGUUCCAUUCCAAAAUACCAACAACCAUAACUCACAAACAAUGUGAAGAGAUUGAAGACAUAAAUAUUUUUUGCAUUAAUGUAAUUUGAUUGAGUGUGGUUAGUGUUAAAUGGCCUAAGAUUUCAACCCAAAAGUUAGCUUGUUCUGAUAAAUAAAACUGGUUUUUUCAACAACAAUUCUUACGGUGCCAUUGGUUUUUUCUACAUCCAUGUUUAUCAUUUUUGUGUCCACUUUGUUUGUUAUUUUCAACUACCACUAUCAGAACCAAAAUCUCAAAUUAAAUCAAGCUUCAGUUGUGGUUUAAUUUUAUUUAUUUGUACACAUAAUGAUGGAUAAUACAAAAUUUUAAAAGGGUAAAUUGAGAUCUGAAAAACAAUGGAUGGCAUGAACUAUGAAUGAGAGAGAAAAAUGAAUUUGUGUAUAAAUGUAACAAAAAAGAUCAGGGAUUCUCCAGCAAGAAGAAGGUUGGAGAGAGAAAGCAGAGGAGGAAAAGGGUUUUGGAGAGAGGAAGAGAAGAAUGAGAAAGAAUAAAAAUAAGAGAAUUGCUCUUCUCACAUAUAGUAUGGCUGUGCCACACGAGUAAAAUACCAAAAUGCCCUUUCGGCAGUUAACUGCCGAAGUUUUGAGUGAACCGGCGGCAGCAAACUACCGAGGAUUUCCUCGGCAGUUAAAAUUGAACAUAACCAGAACGCAGAAACUCAGUUUUCCAGUAUUGCUUGCUUCUUCAAAACUUCUUCCAAACCAUCCAACUUCUCCAAAUUCGAUUUUUCAGCAAAAUCAAGUGCAUCAUCUCCAUUUAAUCACAAGUAAGUAUCUUGACUCAUUUUUAAUCAUAAUGUUAGUUUGGGUAGGUUUUUUUUAAAAAAAAAUGGUAGUUUUCAUGUGGUUAGGGUUAAUGUAUGAAUUGAAUUUUUUAUGAGUGCAUGUAGUUUAUAAUUGAAUGUAGUUGGUUUAAUUGAUGAUUGAAUGAUGUUAGGGUAUAAUGUGGUUUUGAUUGGUGGCAAAAUAACACAUUUUGAGUAUGUUUGAUACUUUGCACACAAAGUGUUUGAUAAAAUGUGUCAAUGACAAUUUUAUUGAUUAUUUAGUUAGUUUAGGUAUUGGAUACGAUCUUGAUUGUAAUUCGAAAACGUGUAUGUUGAAUUAAGUUGAAUGCAUAUUGAAAAAGUGUAUAUUGAAUUAGGUUGAAUGUGUAUAUUGAAUUAUGUUUAGUGUAGGUUGAAUGUGUAUGAUAAUGCAUUUGAUUUUUUGCGUUUGAAUGUUAAUGAUAAUGUGUAUGAUAAUGUUUAGGUUCAAUCAAUGUCUUUAUUUUGGUAAAGUGGUUUAAUGUGAAAGCGGUUAUGUUUAGGUUAUGUUUAGGUUGAAUGUGAAAGUGUAGGUUUUGUUUAGGUUUACUGUUUGUUGAUAAAGUGGUUGAAUGAUAUUAAUUUUUAUUUUUUAUUUUUUGUAGAUAUGGCCGAUCAGGACCCCAUUGAUCCAUCGAGGAUGAUUGGUGGUAGGCGUGCCAUGACUCAGAGCCACCGCGGGGAGAGACAGAGUGCCCACAUCCCAAAGAGGGGUAGAGGUCGGAGGGGAGAUGACUCAGGAAGCUCUCAGGCUACACAGCCUGAGGAGUCACAGGUUGUUGACCCGUCACAGCCUGUUGACCAGACUGGGGUGGAGUACCUGAACUAUCAGGAUCAGGUACAUCAUGAUGUGACGGACGGUGGAUAUGACCAGGAUCAUAUACCACAUGAGCAGGAUGCAGGAGACGAGGAUGACAUUGCAGCAGCUGCUGCACCGGAGGUGUUACCUACGGACCCUCCCUUUCCUGGUGGACCGGCUGACUUGUCCUUGCUCCACUCUUAUGCCGGUCAUGUGGCGUUGCCACUCUGGUAUAAUUCAAAUAAUGUAAGUGUAUUUUUUUUAAUUGUUUUUUCUUUAUGUUAAAAUAUUUUCUUUAAUUUAAAUGUGUGUUUGUUUAAUUAUUAUAUCCACUUUUAUAUGUGUUUUUUUUAAUUGGUGUUUCUUUAUGUUAAAAUAUUUUCUUUAAAUGUGUGUUUGUUUUUAUUAUUAUAUCCACCUCUAUAUUUGUUUUUUUUAAUUCUUUUUCUUUAUGUUUAAUUAUUUUCUUUAAAUGUGUGUUUGUUUUAAUUAUUAUAUACACUGUUAUAUGUUUAUUUUUUUUAAUUCUAUUUUUUAUGUUUAAUUGUUUUGUUUAUAUGUGUUUUUGUUUAAACCAAAUUUAUUUUUCUAUUAUUUCAGGUUCGUAAUACCCGCGUGCUUAAACCGAUUAAUCAUGGGGCGAAGAUUCUCACUCUCGGACGCCCUAACGGGAAUGAGAAUUGGUUUUGGGAUGCGCUUCAGCAGAGCGGGCUACAUGACUUGGUCUACUUGGGGUACUCCACCGUGCCUCAUGCCCUGCUGCUUACUUUAUGCGAGAGGUGGCAUCCGGAGACCAGCACCUUCCACAUGCCGAUGGGGGAGAUGACUGUGACAUUGGAUGAUGUCGCAUGUCUCAUGCAUCUUCCUAUUGAGGGGCGGAUGUUGGCCCAUGGGAAGAAGAUGCCCAAGCAUGAGGGAGCGGCACUGCUGAUGACGUAUCUUGGUGUGGCCCAGCAUGAGGCUGAGAAGAUCUGCAACCAGGAGUACGGUGGGUACAUUAGCUACCCCAGGCUGAGGGACUUCUAUACCUCGUACCUUGGUAGGGCCAACGUAUUGGCGGGUACGGAGGAUCCUGAGGAGGUUGAGGAGCUGGAGAGGGUCAGGACAUACUGCGUCCGGUGUUACCUUCUGUACUUGGUCGGAUGCUUGUUGUUUGGCGAUAGAAGCAACAAGCGCAUCGAGCUGAUAUAUUUGACGACCAUGGCAGACGGCUACGCAGGGAUGCGUAAUUAUUCCUGGGGAGCUAUGACCCUCGCCUACCUAUACGGCGAGUUGGCGGAUGCAUGUAGGCCUGGACACAGAGCGCUUGGGGGGAGCGUGACACUGCUCACUGUAAGAAAACUGAAAUUUUAUAUUUAUGUUAACUUUAUUUUUUUGUGAACUUUUAAUUUUUUGUUAUAUUUUUCCGUGCGUAAUAAUUUAUAAAUGUUAUUUGUUUGGUUUGUGCAGGCAUGGUUUUUGGCGCAUUUUCCAGGGUUUUUCAGUGUUGAUCUCAACACUGACUACCUGGAAAACUAUCCGGUUGCAGCGAGGUGGAAGCUCCAGAAGGGUCAUGGGGAGGGGAUCACGUAUCGGUCACUGCUCGAUCGUAUACAGUUAGAUGAUGUAUGCUGGAGGCCGUACGAGGAGCACAGAGAGAUCCAGGACUUCGAGGAGGUUUUCUGGUAUUCUGGAUGGAUUAUGUGCGGCGUCCGUAGGGCGUACCGUCACUUGCCCGAGAGGGUUUUGAGGCAGUACGGAUACGUGCAGACCAUCCCCAGACAUCCGACUGAUUUUAGGGACCUCCCCCCGCCUUCCAUUGUGCAGAUGUUCAUCGACUUCCGCACUCACACGCUUAAGGCGGACGCUCGGGGUGAGCAGGCAGGAGAGGAUACAUGGCGGGUGGCGGAUGGCUAUGUCCUGUGGUACACUAGGGUGUCUCACCCUCAGAUCUUGCCACCUAUUCCAGGAGAUCUUCCGAGGCCUGCAAAUGAAGAGCAGAUCAUUGCAGAGCAGUGGCAGCGGUAUGAGGCGAGAAGCUCGCCUGACACCUAUGACAUGGUUAGUGGCGCUGUUGCCUAUGCUGAUGCGCAGUUAGGCCAGGAGGAGGUCAUGAGCAUGACCCCUCAGCAGUGGUAUGAGGCCAUGACCCAUAUGAGGGAGCAGAUCGCGCCGAUUUUGACCAGGAGGAGAGCCCAGAGGCCGAGGAGGAGGCACCAUCAUCAGGAUCAGGACCAGUAGUACUAUUUUCCUUUUUUAGGACUUAUUUUUUAGUUUUAGUCUUUUGAUGACAUUGAGUUAUGUAUAUAUGUAUAUUUGUAUAUUUGUAUAUUUCUACUUUGAUGACAUUAUUUUUAAUUUCAUGGGUUUUUUUUACUUUGUUUAAUGUGCAAAAAUAGGUUGCUUUAAUGUGCAAAUAUAGGUUGCUUUAUGAACAUAAAACAUAAAAAUAAGUUGAGAGUAGGAAAAAUAGGGACGAGAGAGAACUUGAGAGAACUUGACAGAAUAUAAUAUAAGUGUCCCGUUGAUUUGCUCGCAAUUCGUGAAAGAAGAAUUGGCGAAGAUUUGAGAGAACUUGAGAACUUUGUGAAGGUUUUCCUCGGCAGUUAACUACCGAGGUUUUCUACGACAGUUUUCUUCGGCAGUUAACUGCCGAAAUUUUCUCAAAUCCGGCUGCAGUUAACUGCCGAGGAAAACCUCGGUAGUUAACUGCCGAGGAACUUCUGCACUACAAAAUCUGGCAGAAUCUCCUCUCAUCCAUUAUUGAUCUUAUCUUCCAAAAUUUCUUCAAAUGUCUCUCAAAUUCUCUCUAACAAACACAACCAAAUCCAACAAACUUUAUUCAACAAAAUCACAAGUAAGUAAUUAUAAUGCUAUUAACUUACAUUUUAGUUGUUAUAAAUGUUAUUAUUUUUUAGUUUUUGAGUACAUUUAUUAUUUUUUAGUAGAUUUACAUGUUAUAAUUAAAUUUUAGGGUAUAUGUUAGUUGAUUAAUGUUGUUAAAAUAUUUGCAUGAUGUUUAUGUUAUAUGAUAUAAAUUUUUUUAUUUUAGUAAGAGUAUAUGAUUUAUAAUUUUAGGGUUAUUUUUAUGAAUUUUAGAGUGUAUGUAUAAUGUGUUUUUGAUUGAUUGUUUUUAGUUUCUUAUUGUGUAGAUUUAAAACAAUGGCGGGGUGGAUCGACGUUCAUGUGCAAUUCAACGGCGGAGAACCUCAGAGGUUGAAGGUUCGGUGCCUUGGUGUAACGUUAAGAGGUCUCAAGGAUACACUGACUGAAUUCAACCAAGGAGUCAACCCCAGAGACACAAGGAUGGUGGAACACAUUUGGUAUAAACGUCCAACACUCGACGAGGGGAGAGUAUCAUUCAGUUGGGUGGAAUUAACGAACGACGAAAACGUGACGACCAUGUUUUGGGAGCACAGCAUGUUCCAGUGGAUCGAUAUGCGGGUGAAGUUGCUUAGAUCAACUGAAGAUAUCAUCAAAAGUUUGAUUCCGCCACAAGAUCGUCAUUAGUUAGGGUAAGGUGCAUUCCAACUACAACAAUUGUAUUCCUUUGAAUGAGGUAAUUCAAACUUGUCAAACAACAGGACUCAAGCAUUUCGCAAGCACCUCAUGUUUCUCCUUUGAAAAUAUUAAAUUUUUGUUAUGCUGGUUUAGAUGAAGGUAUUAAGUGUCAAGGAUUGAACCUCAAUUCGGUGGCACUUGAAUACCAUCAUCUAAAGCAAGCCUCACAAAAAUUUAUUAUUUUCAAAGGGAAAACAUGAGGUGUUUGGCGAAAUGCUUGAGUCCUGUUGUUUUGCAGGUUUGAAUUUAUCCCAUUCAAAGGUAACACAAUUGUUGUGGUUGGAAUGCACAUUCCAACUGCAACAAUUGUCUUACCCUGGAUGGGGCAAUUCAAACUUGUUAAUCGGCAGGACUCCAGUAUUCGAUGAGCAUCUUGGACAAUGGUAUUCAAGUGUCAAGGAAUGCACCUCAUUCUUUUGACACUUGAAUACCAUCGUUCAAGAUGCUUAUCGAAUACUGGAGUCCUGCUGCUUAGCAAGUUUGAAUUUGCCCCAUUCAGUGGUAAGAUGAUUGUUGCAGCUGGAAGGUAAAUUUCGGAAUGUAAUGUAAAAUGCAAUGUAAUGUGAUAACAUAUAUUUUGUUUUGAAUGGAACAAUAAUUAUCUUAUUUUGUUUUCAAAUUUAUUUAUUCCAAAUGCAAUUUUAUUCUAAAUACCAUAAUGUCAAACAAAAUGUGUGCGACACAAAAAUAAAACAUAAAAAAAUCCAAAACAAUUAGGCAUUAAAAGCCAUUACAUUCAUUCUUCCUCGUCACACAAAUCAAUCGGCUUGUCCGCUACAGUCCCUGCGGUACCUUGUUUUGGUUGAGGACCGAAAUAGCAUGUCCUCCCGCUCCUCCUCAACCUCGAGUGAUUGUACACCGGCACCUUCGAACCCUUCUUUUUUUCGGAACCAUCGCAAACAAUUCCAUGCCAUGUCAUAGGUGACUUUUCUUUUUUCGUCUCAUCAUCGUGAACGUUACCCUGAUUCUGAUUCUGAGACAUAUCUACAUUUAAAAAAAUAUGGCGAUCAAUUCAACCUACACUAACCUAAACUAUCCUAACAAUUCUAACAAUUCUAACCUAAACUAUCCUAACAUAUCAUAAAAUCAACAAAUCAAUAUAAUUGAACCUAUAUAAUCGAAAUUUAACAAAAAAUAACAUACAAUUCGACCACAAAGCAACUAUUGCAUAGAAUUCAAAAAGCUUACUUGUUUUUGUGAUUAAAAUUGGCUUCUAAUGGCUUCAAAUGACUCAAAAUCGCACCUUCAAAAAUUAAAAACGCAACAAUGGAGUUUUGGAAACUCCUAUGAAGUUCUGAUCUUAUAACAUUCUCCUCGGCAGUUAACUACCGAGGUUUUCCUCGGCACUUAACUGCCGCCGGUGUCCUAAAAACCUCGGUAGCAAACUGCCGAGGGGCAUUUUGGUAUUUUACUCGUGUGGCACAGCCAAACUAUAUGUGGGAACAGCAAUACUCUAAAAAUAAAUAUUCAUGAGUAGAAGAAGUCCGAUAUAAUGGAGUGAAUACAUGGUAAGAUCUAUAAGCUUGUGUAAUUUAAUGGUCAGAAAUCUUGAUCCAAUAUGGACCAAUACAUGUAUGGGUCCAUCCUAAACGCCACCCAUAAGUCGUGCUUUCCACCAUUCAAGAUUUACCUAUCCUUACUCAAUAAGACAAAGAUGUUGUUAAGGAAUUGUUGAAAAUACACAUGGAGGCACAAAUUCAUAAUUUGUAAACUUCAUAAGUCGUGCUACCAAAUGUGUUUCCCUUACCUCUUCCCAUUUCCACCAAAAUCCUAAAAGAAAAGAAAAAAAUGAAAAUUGGUAAAAAUUGUAGAUCUUCCCCAACACCUGAUAAGUGCUAAAUUUACAACACGUUUGGAUUCGAAGAAAACAUUGUAGAGAAAUUUCACGAAAUUUGACUUCGCCAAGUGAAAUCAAGUCAAAAACAUUUAUUUAAAUAUUUGGUGUUAACUCUUCAGCUUUUAAGAGUAAAGGGUCAUAGUAAUUUAUAUUUCAACAAGAAAGUAAGUAAAUGAUGAUCAAGAAUUGUUCCACUGAGAAUUAAACCGGCUUUUUCUGAAUAAUUUAUGUUAAAGGAAACUCAUUAACCAGUUGAGCUCAAUUCACUUUACACUUUAAAAUGAAUUGUUAAUAAGCCAAAUCUCAUUUAAAAUAGGAAGUGUUCAAUUAUUUUGGCUCUUACCGAGCAUAUAUGGAACAUGAGUUUUCCUUCAAUAUCAUAAUAAUGAUUUGCGUAUCGAACAUGAUUUGAAAUUCUAGUACUCCUACCAAGGCCACAAAGAGUAUUUUAUUUACAUAAAAGAGCAUGUUAAAGUAUUUGGCUUGAAAUAUAUAACUAAUUUUGAUACAACUCUUUUUCUAUUUCAUAACUGAAUAAUGCGAGGGAGCUGGGACGGAUGCAUGUUGUAUAGUUUGUGGGCUUGUGCCGACACAAAGUUUUUAGAAACAAUUUUAUUGGUAGUAUAAUGUAUUAAUCACAUAGACCACAUUUAUCACAAAUAAUUUAUCUCUUGACCGAUACUUAUCAUCAUAUAUCUCAAACUAUUAUUAAGAUUUGGAUACGAAAUCAAGUCGGAGAUGACCGGUUAAAUAAUUGUUUAGUUAUUUAUAUAGAUAAAAUGUUUUUUUUUAUUGAUAUUGAAAAUGAGAAAAUCAUUCAAAGUUUCCAUAAUAUGAAUAAUCGUAGAGGACAAUUUUUAAUGCUACAAAUUUUUAUAUAUAGUGCCCCCACUAGGGCUGGCAAUGAACCGAACCAACUCGAUUAAAGUUCGUAAUUCGAUUCGACAAUUGAUUCGUUGAACUUGGUUCAUAAACCAAAUGAGCCGAACUUGAGCUGAAAAUUAAGUUCGUCAAAUAAUUGAGCCGAACUUGAACUAUAUGUAGUUCGACUCGUUUGGUUCACGAGAUGACUCGAUUAUAUAUAUACUUUAAAAACUAAGACAAACACUUAGCAAUAAUAGGAUAAAAAUGAGCUACAUUAAAAUUGAUAGACAACGUCGUGCACAAUGUUGUUGUAGUUUUUAAGGAUUUUAAAACUUAAAUAGUCUCGCAUCAAAACAUCCAUGAAAAAUGAAGAAUAUGAUUAUCUAUAAUAAGAGAAACGUAUGCCACAAGAAGGCAAAACUUGAUUUGGUGGUUGCAUACCAGUGUUAAUUACUAUGUGCAAUAAUAGCCUCGUCUAGUCCAUUAAAAAUUUGUAUAAAUUUCAAUAUAUUUAUGGGUCAAAAAUUUUAAUUCUUUGACUUUUGAGUUAUGCGGUUCAAAUGGCUUUACUCAUUUUCAUACCUAAAGUUAUGUGCUUUGAACAAACGAAUUGAACCUAAUGAGCCGAACUAAACUGUUCGUGAACUUUAAACGAGCCGAACUUGAGCUGGAAAAAAAGUUCGUGUCAAACUCGAACCGAGCCAAUUCUUAACGAGUCGAGUUGAACUCAGACAGGUUCGAUUCGACUCGACUCAUUUCCAACCCUAACCCCCACUAUUCAAAAAUCCUGGAUCCGUCACUCAGAGGGAGAGGCUUGGGAUCUUUAACUUACUCUUCAAUCGGAUUGCAACCUUUUUCGUCUUAGAAAACAUACGUGAUAUAAUAAUGAUAAGGGUUAAAUAAGUUUUUCGUUCUUAUAACUAUAAAGAAUUUUGAUUUUAGUCCCUAAAAAAUUAAAUUGAAUGUUUUCAUAUUCACAAAUUUAUUUUUUUUGUUUUUGGUCAUUAAUGACCACUUUAUGUUCAUGUGAACGUCAAAAUUAUAACUUUUUUAUGCUCAAAUAGUAUCAUUAUAUGUCUAUUUAUUAUGUUCAAUAUUUAUAUAUUCAUACUAUGUUCAAAAAAUAUAUCAAAAUUAUAUGUAUUAGGGACUAAAAAUAAAAUAAUUUUUUUUUUUAGGAUGAAAACAUUUUAUUUUAAUUUUUAGGAAUGAAAAUCAAAGUUUGAUAUAUUUAUAGAGACAAAAAAUUUAUUUAACCCUUAAUAAUAUUAUUUGUAACAGAAAACGCAGUUCCUUCAUCAUCACCCGCCACAAACAUUCAGAAAUUCCGCUGCAAGGUUUUCUUUCUUCUUCUCUUCUCUUCUCUUGUAGCGAUUUCAUCCAAUCUAUUUCUAAUUUCAAUUUUCUUAAUUUCAACUUCAAUUCACACUUAAUUGCUACUGCAUUGGCUACGUUCUUUCUUGAUGAUUAAACUAACCUCACAAUCUCAAAUUCAAUUCAUACCUAAUUAAUUCAACUUCAUUCUUUCUCAACUCUUUUUCUUCACGAUCAUGAAUUCUAGCACUUAAUGUUCUGCUUUCUAAUUUGUUCUCAGAUUUAUCUUACCUUUCUUCGUUUAACAUGAAUAAACAGGAUCAAUGGACAGUGUGGUUGAUUCUCUAAAAAACGCCUAUCAAGAUUUUGUUGAUGCAGCAGCAACUGUGCUGGAAGCAAGCAACAUUUCCGGUGCCCUUGAUACCGCAGCAACAGAUACCGCUCUCAAAAGCUUUAAACAAAAAUGGGAAUUGUUUAAAGUAGCAUGUGAUCAAGCCGAGGAGUAUGUGCAGUCUGUAAAGCAAAGGGUAGAAUCAGAGAGUUUAGUAGUGGAUGCAGAGAUGUUGUUGGAAAGCAUAGAGAAGCUACAUAACUGAUUAAUGCACAUAUAUGAGGUUAGUCGUGCGUUGUAGAAUUUUGAACUGAUUUUGUAUGUGCGCAAUGGUGGCAUAUGUAACAUUGAAAUUAGUGAGAAUCAUCUUGAUUGAGUGAUGGAUAGGUAUACUUCUUUGUAGUGUGCUAAGGUUAAUGCCACGGCACUCAUUGGUGUAGCUGCUUUAUUGAACCAUUGAUGCUCAGUACUCUUAGCUCAAUACAUUGUAUGUUAUCUUUAGAUUUGUUUUAAUUUUGCUAAUACAUUGGGUUUUUGAAACCAAAAGAAAUCUCUAUAUGUUUGAUAUGGUUUAUUUGAAUAUAUAUAUAUAUUUAUAGUCACACAUUGGUACUGAAAAAGAUACAACGUGCGACUAGAUUGCGAGUUCAAAUUAAAUAAGUGACUAUAUACAUCAAUUUAACUCCCAAUAAUAAAAUAUGGCACCAGAUUAGUCUUUUGAUAAUCUCAUGGUCUAUAUAGAAAUUAUUAUAAUGUCAUCUUCAUGAUUGCACAGCUAGCUAAAUUUAAUACGCAGAAACAAUACCUUAAUUAGUACACAAACACGGCCUUAAUUAGCACACAAACAAGACCUUAGUUAUUUAGUACGCAGAAACUAGACCUUAAUUAGUACACAAACACGGCCUUAAUUAGUACAUAAACAAGACCUUAAUUAUUUAGUACACAGAAAUUAGACCUUAAUUAGUACACAAACACAACCUUAUUUAGCACACAAACAAGACCCUACAAUACAUAGAAAAUCAUAACAGUUAAACACCAUGAAGCAUAGGGAAUGACAUAGAAAUAUGAUCAACUAGUUCCCUUUGGUUCAGUGGGUGGCCUCUGGUGGGAGUGGUGCCCAUAGAACAUGCUUUACAGGGAAGAAAUGGCACAUAGGAGCUUCCCCAGGCUUUAUUCCAAGUAGUUGAAAUAUAAAAUGAUUAGGAUUCAUGUCAGACGUGUCUAGGUGGCAAAUGCCCAAAGCAUCCAUUAUGUCUCCAUAUUGACCCUUUAGAAGAACUUUGAAGACCUUACUCCCUAUGUCUAGGUAGUGGCAAUAGUAAAGAGCAUAAGGGUAAGGCCUAGGGUGACAAGCUACCCAUUUAGGAGCAUAGAUAUCCUUUGAGAUUUUCAAAAUGGUGUAGUUCUGCAAACGUGCACCUGAUGUUGUGGGAUAGCUAGUUGUGUGAAUGUUAUAUCUGGCCUCAGUACCAAGAACACUAUGAACAAAUUCAAGCAUGGACUCUAAUGAAGUAGGACAAGCUUUGGUCUCCCCUUUUGUGGGUUCAAAUUCACAUUGAUCAAUUAUGUCUUUCAUGUCUUCACCUUGGGGGGAAUCUUUUGUGAGAGAGAAGAGUUGAAGAAGGCUUGGUAGUUGUGACUUGGAGAAAGGAAUGUAGUCAGCUACUUUUUUUGGCAAGAAGUUAGCAUAUUCUCUGACAGGAAAUUGCAGCGUCAUUACGUUCCCUACAUAAAGAUCAUCCAUAGUGAAAAAAGCUAACUUGAAUGCCUCUGUAUGGUCAACUUUAGAAGAUGGUUUCCCUUUUGAUUCUGCCAUGUCUUGUCCAAUUUUCUUCAUGGAGUUCGCUGCAUGCGAGUCUUUCAACCAACCAUCAAGGUAAGCCUGAUCUAGGCUGUGAAUUGGUUUUUUCAUUUGAUCCUUGGCAUCUUUCAACCAUCCAUCAAGGUAAACUUGAUUGGAGUUAGGGGUGGAUUUUACUUGCUCAACUUGGCUAUCUUUCAACCAUCCAUCAAGAUAAACUUGAUUGGGAUUUGGGGUCGAUCUUGCCUUGUCAACUUGGCUAUCUUUCAACCAUCCAUCAAGGUAAACUUGAUUGGAGUUAGGGGUGGAUUUUCCUUGCUGAACUUGGCUAUCUUUCAACCAUCCAUCAAGAUAAGCUUGAUUGGAGUUUGGGGUCGAUUUUGCUUUCUCAAGCUGGGCAUCUUUCAGCCAGCCAUCAAGGUAAACUUGAUUGGAGUUAGGGGUGGAUUUUCCUUGCUGAACUUGGCUAUCUUUCAACCAUCCAUCAAGAUAAGCUUGAUUGGAGUUUGGGGUCGAUUUUGCUUUCUCAAGCUGGGCAUCUUUCAGCCAGCCAUCAAGGUAAACUUGAUUGGAGUUAGGGGUGGAUUUUUCUUUCUCAACAUGGCUAUCUUUCAACCAUCCAUCAAGAUAAACUCGAUUGGAGUUGUGGGUGGGUUUUGCUUUCUGGACCCGGCUAUCUUUUAACCAGCCAUCAAGGUAAGCCUGAUUGAGGUUGUGGAUAGUUUUUUCCUUUUGAUCUUUGGUGUCUUUCAACCACCCGUCAAGAUAAACUUGGUUGGAGUUUGGGUUGGAUAUUUCUUUCUCAACUUGGCUAUCUUUCAACCACCCGUCAAGGUAAACUUGGUUGGAGUUUGGGGUCGAUUUUGCUUUCUCAACUGGAUCUUUCAACCAUCCAUCAAGGUAAACUUGAUUAGAGUCAGAGGUGGAUUUUGCUUUCUCAACUUGGGUAUCUUUUAGCCAUCCAUCAAGGUAAACUUGAUUGGAGUUAGGAGUGGAUUUUGUUUUCUGAACUUGGGUAUCCUUUAACCAUCCAUCUAGGUAAACUUGAUUGGAGUUGUGGGUGGUCUUUUCCUUUUGAUUCUUGGUAUCUUUCAGCCAUCCAUCGAGGUAAACUUGAUUGGUGUUGUGGAUAGCUUUUUUGUUUUCUUCAGGAGUGUCUUUCAACCAUCCAUCAAGAUAACCUGGAUUAGAGUUUAGUUUUUUGUUCGUCAGUGGACUGUUUUUAAGCCAGCCAUCAAG
rnacentral:lncRNA from 1 species